AGCGACCUAAGGAUGUCCACAGAUCUCUGUCAGGUCUACAGUCCUCCGCUCUACCAGCUGAGCUAUCGAAGGGGGCACUCUGAUAGGGUUGUGCUCUGGAUACCCAAGUUGAAAGCAUAAUGUCAUGCAUCGCCAAAGGACACCCAGGAGAAGUUUCCAGGAUACAUUUUUCUCUUCCCUCCUUUCUUCUCCCCCUACCCCAUUUGAAUCCGAUUCCAAAUCUGAGACCGAGAGCAGCUCCUCUCUCUCUGGAAACUAAAGGAAAAGAUCUCCUUUCAGAUGAACUAUCUGCCCCGAAAGCGAAGCUCUUGGGAUCUAGAAUGUACGGCUUCCUGAAGGCAGGGGUCCCGACAACCCCAGCCUGGCGCCCAGCAAGCCUGACAGCCCAGAAACGAAGUAUUGACCGGAUGAAGGAGCUUCCAGACUUGGACCCCAGACCGCCCGGGGAGGGGAUGGGGGCGGUGGAAGAAAGAAGAGCACCUCGGUCACCCUUGUGAGUUAGGUUCUUUUUGGUUCUGAGGCAGGAAAGCACUCUUGGAGACCCCAGGAAAAGGAGGCUGUGCAUUGGAGGAUGAGGAGAAA
rnacentral:lncRNA from 1 species